rnacentral:rRNA from 1 species
AUUGAACGCUGGCGGCAGGCCUAACACAUGCAAGUCGAGCGGAUGAAGGGAGCUUGCUCCUGGAUUCAGCGGCGGACGGGUGAGUAAUGCCUAGGAAUCUGCCUGGUAGUGGGGGAUAACGUCCGGAAACGGGCGCUAAUACCGCAUACGUCCUGAGGGAGAAAGUGGGGGAUCUUCGGACCUCACGCUAUCAGAUGAGCCUAGGUCGGAUUAGCUAGUUGGUGGGGUAAAGGCCUACCAAGGCGACGAUCCGUAACUGGUCUGAGAGGAUGAUCAGUCACACUGGAACUGAGACACGGUCCAGACGCCUACGGGAGGCAGCAGUGGGGAAUAUUGGACAAUGGGCGAAAGCCUGAUCCAGCCAUGCCGCGUGUGUGAAGAAGGGCUUCGGAUUGUAAAGCACAUUAAGUUGGGAGGAAGGGCAGUAAGUUAAUAACUUGCUGUUUUGACGUUACCAACAGAAUAAGCACCGGAUAACUUCGUG